rnacentral:rRNA from 1 species
AUUGAACCCUGGCGGCAGGCCUAACACAUGCAAGUCGAACGAGUGGCGGACGGGUGCGUAAUGUCUGGGAAACUGCCUGAUGGAGGGGGAUAACUACUGGAAACGGUAGCUAAUACCGCAUACCAUCGGAUGUGCCCAGAUGGGAUUAGCUACUAGGUGGGGUAAAGUCUCACCUAGUCGACGAUCCCUAGCUGGGCUGAGAGGAUGACCAGACAGACUGGAACUGAGACACGGUCCAGAAUCUGACGGGAGGCAGAAGUGGGGAAUAUUGCACAAUGGGGGCAAGCCUGAUGCAGGCAUGCCGCGUGUAUGAAGAAGGCAUUAGGGUUGUAAAGUACUUUCAGCGGGGAGGCGUUACCCGCAGAAGAAGCACCGGCUAGCUCCGUGCCAGCAGCCGCGGUAAUUC